rnacentral:rRNA from 1 species
CUGGCGGCGUGCCUAAUACAUGCAAGUUCGAACGGAGAAUAAGUAGCUUCGCUAUUUAAUCUUAGCGGCGCACGGGCGAGUAAUAUAUAGCUAAUCUGCCCUACACUAGAGGAACAACAGUUCGGAAACGACCGCUAAUACUCUAUACUCCUUCUUUACAUAAGUUUAAGUCGGGAAAGUUUUUUCGGUGUAGGAUGAGGCUAUAUCGUAUCAGCUAGUUUGGUAGGGUAACGGCCUACCAAGGCUAUGACGCGUAACUGGUCUGAGAGGAUGAUCAGUCACACUGGAACUGAGACACGGUCCAGACUCCUACGGGAGGCAGCAGUAGGGAAUAUUGCUCAAUGGGGGAAACCCUGAAGCAGCAACGCCGCGUGGAGGAUGACACUUUUCGGAGCGUAAACUCCUUUUCUUGGGAAAGAAUUAUGACGGUACCCAAGGAAUAAGCACCGGCUAACUCCGUGCCAGCAGCCGCGGUAAUACGGAGGGUGCAAGCGUUACUCGGAAUCACUGGGCGUAAAGGACGCGUAGGCGGAUUAUCAAGUCUCUUGUGAAAUCUAACGGCUUAACCGUUAAACUGCUUGGGAAACUGAUAAUCUAGAGUAAGGGAGAGGCAGAUGGAAUUCUUGGUGUAGGGGUAAAAUCCGUAGAGAUCAAGAAGAAUACCCAUUGCGAAAGCGAUCUGCUGGAACUUAACUGACGCUAAUGCGUGAAAGCGUGGGGAGCAAACAGGAUUAGAUACCCUGGUAGUCCACGCCCUAAACGAUGUAUACUAGUUGUUGCUUCGCUAGUCGAGGCAGUAAUGCACCUAACGGAUUAAGUAUACCGCCUGGGGAGUACGGUCGCAAGAUUAAAACUCAAAGGAAUAGACGGGGACCCGCACAAGCGGUGGAGCAUGUGGUUUAAUUCGAAGAUACGCGAAGAACCUUACCCGGACUUGAUAUCUAACAAAUCAUCCAGAGAUGGAAGAGUGUCUGCUUGCAGAAAUGUUAAGACAGGUGCUGCACGGCUGUCGUCAGCUCGUGUCGUGAGAUGUUGGGUUAAGUCCCGCAACGAGCGCAACCCACGUCAUUAGUUGCUAACGGUUCGGCCGAGCACUCUAAUGAGACUGCCUUCGUAAGGAGGAGGAAGGUGUGGACGACGUCAAGUCAUCAUGGCCCUUAUGUCCGGGGCGACACACGUGCUACAAUGGCGUAUACAAUAAGACGCAAUAUCGCGAGAUGGAGCAAAUCUAUAAAAUACGUCCCAGUUCGGAUUGGAGUCUGCAACUCGACUCCAUGAAGCCGGAAUCGCUAGUAAUCGUAGAUCAGCCAUGCUACGGUGAAUACGUUCCCGGGUCUUGUACACACCGCCCGUC